GAUGAACGCUGGCGGCGUGCCUAAUACAUGCAAGUCGAGCGAACAGACGAGGAGCUUGCUCCUCUGACGUUAGCGGCGGACGGGUGAGUAACACGUGGAUAACCUACCUAUAAGACUGGGAUAACUUCGGGAAACCGGAGCUAAUACCGGAUAAUAUAUUGAACCGCAUGGUUCAAUAGUGAAAGACGGUUUUGCUGUCACUUAUAGAUGGAUCCGCGCCGCAUUAGCUAGUUGGUAAGGUAACGGCUUACCAAGGCAACGAUGCGUAGCCGACCUGAGAGGAUGAUCGGCCACACUGGAACUGAGACACGGUCCAGACUCCUACGGGAGGCAGCAGUAGGGAAUCGUCCGCAAUGGGCGAAAGCCUGACGGAGCAACGCCGCGUGAGUGAUGAAGGUCUUCGGAUCGUAAAACUCUGUUAUUAGGGAAGAACAAAUGUGUAAGUAACUAUGCACGUCUUGACGGUACCUAAUCAGAAAGCCACGGCUAACUACGUG
rnacentral:rRNA from 1 species